UACGUAGGGCGCAAGCGUUAUCCGGAAUUAUUGGGCGUAAAGAGCUCGUAGGCGGUUUGUCGCGUCUGCCGUGAAAGUCCAGGGCUCAACCCUGGAAAGCGGGUGGAUACUGCCGGGCUAGAGUCCGGAAGAGGCGAGUGGAAUUCCUGGUGUAGCGGUGGAAUGCGCAGAUAUCAGGAGGAACACCAACAGCGAAGGCAGCUCGCUGGGACGGUACUGACGCUGAGGCGCGAAAGCGUGGGGAGCGAACAGG
rnacentral:rRNA from 1 species